rnacentral:rRNA from 1 species
UAAUCCCUANGUGGCGAGCGUUGUCCGGAAUUACUGGGUGUAAAGGGCGUGUACGCGGGAAUGCAAGUCGGAUGUGAAAUACCGUGGCUUAACCACGGGGCUGCAUCUGAAACUGUGUUUCUUGAGUGUCGGAGAGGAAAGUGGAAUUCCCAGUGUAGCGGUGAAAUGCGUAGAUAUUGGGAGGAACACCAGUGGCGAAGGCGACUUUCUGGACGAUAACUGACGCUGAGGCGCGAAAGCGUGGGGAGCAAACAGGAUUAGAUACCCUGGUAGUCCACGCUGUAAACGAUGGAUACUAGGUGUGGGAGGUAUCGACCCCUUCCGUGCCGGAGUUAACACAAUAACUAUCCCACCUGCGGAGUACGGCCGCCANGUUGAAACUCAAAGGAAUUGACGGGGGCCCCCACAAGCAGUGGAGUAUGUGGUUUAAUUCCAAAGCAACGCGAANAAACUUACCAGGCUUGACAUACAGUGGAACAUGGCAGAGAUGUCAUGGCUCUUCNGAGCUGCUGUA